UACGUAGGGGGCAAGCGUUGUCCGGAAUCAUUGGGCGUAAAGGGCGCGUAGGUGGCCCGGUCAGUCCGUGGUGAAAGCGCGGGGCUCAACCCUGCGUCGGCCAUGGAUACUGCCGCGGCUCGAGCACUGUAGAGGCAGGCGGAAUUCCGGGGUGUAGCGGUGGAAUGGCGUAGAGAGUCCGGAAGAACACCGGUGGCGAAGGCGGCCUGACUG
rnacentral:rRNA from 1 species